GAUGAAGAACGUAGCGAAAUGCGAUAAGUAAUGUGAAUUGCAGAAUUCAGUGAAUCAUCGAAUCUUUGAACGCACAUUGCGCCCGCCAGUAUUCUGGCGGGCAUGCCUGUUCGAGCGUCAUUUCAACCCUCAAGCCCCCGGGCUUGGUGUUGGGGAUCGGCGUGCCCUCGCGGCGCGCCGUCCCCUAAAUCUAGUGGCGGUCUCGCUGUAGCUUCCUCUGCGUAGUAGCAACACUCGCACUGGAUCGCAGCGCGGCCACGCCGUUAAACCCCCCACUUCUGAAAGUUUGACCUCGGAUCAGGUAGGAAUACGCGCUGAACUUAAGCAUAUCAAUAAGCGGAGGA
rnacentral:misc_RNA from 1 species